CAUCACUUGGCUAUUGAGCUUGUGAAGGGGCAGGACAGUAAUGUUCUUCUACUUGUCAGCAGGUACAAGGGUUGUCCUAGAGCAGCUUGGGAAGAAGAGCCACGACUGCCAAUGACAAAAUCAAGUCCCCCUCCAGCUGGAAAAGGAAAAAGCAGCUGGGCCCAUGAAAUAAUAAUCCAGACCCUGGAGGAUUCGGCCUGGGGUCAUCCUCAUCGUCAAUGGUAUUUAUUGAGAACUAAUAGAGUACUGUACUAAGCGCUCGGGACAGUACACUACAACACAGUCGGUAGACACGUUUCCUGCCCACAACAAGCUUACAGUCAAGUGGUAUUGACUAGCCUCUCUGGAUUCUCAAGCCUGGGGAGCUUCCAGGUUUUCUUGGGCUCCCUUGGGGUGCUUACAUAGUAUGCAGAGCAUUGAACUAAGCACUUGGGAAAGUACAAUAUAACAAUAAACAGAAGCAUUCCCUGGCCACCACGCGCUUACAGUCUAGAGCACUUACAUACACAUUUUAUAGUCUCCCUUAUCUUUAAUUUAUUUUAAUGUCUGUCUCCCCCUGUAGACUAUAAGCUCCUUGUGGGCAGGGAUCGCAUCUACCUAUGCUAUGUAUUGUAGACUCCCAAGUGUUUAGUACAGUGCCAUGCACACAGUAAGCACUCAAUAAAUAGCAUUGAUUGGUUACUACCCCCAAAACCUGCCACACCUCCUCCCCGUAAUCUUAACAGGGUGGAUUAAAACAAAGGAGUAGCUGACAUGCUUUGGGAUUUUACCGAUUGUCCAGCGGCAUGGGAGAGAGUUGAAGACGGAGACUCAAGUUUACUGCGUGGAAGGAGGUGAUGGCAAACCGUGUCCGUAUUUUUACCAAGAAAUCUCUGUGGAAACACUAGAGAAUCAUUGCAGAAGGAGGUUGGGGUGUUCUGGGAGAGAUGUGUCCAUGGUGUCGCUAUGGGUCAAAGACGACUCGACGGCAUAAGACAAGACCUAUAUGGAUGCAGGUGACUCGGCCGAUUCGGAAUCUGGCAACCAUUGAGUGUACAAUCACUGGUUGCCCUUAGUGUUCGGCUCCUUGGCUAUGGGGGAAUUUAUCCUUUUAAAAAGCAGAUUUAAUUUUUUGUUGCUCGUUGAGCAAGCCUAAGCCCUGGUUUAGGGCUUUGUUUAGGCGGUCAUCACACUUUCCUUUUACUUCCAGGGCUUCCUGGGCUAGCAAACUAAUCCGGGUGGACUCA
rnacentral:lncRNA from 1 species